UCUCAGGCGCCCAGCUCAGCGCUCCUAGAGUGAGAUCGCAGCCGUCUCUCUCACAUUUGCCCAGCCACAACAAGUGACCAUGGCACCUAGCAACGCGUCCAUACCAACCACAGCAGGAAUCAAUUUUGUGAAGCUACGGCGCUGCCGAGCGCUUCUGAGUAACACAAGGGUAAAGGGAAUCUGACAGCAGCAUCACUUGCACUAACCUGGAUAUACAGAUUUCUUUAGGAGACGUCCAACAACACUCACUGCAUAUAUUUAAAAUCUCUGUUGCUUAUAUGUUAUGUGUUUUAUUUAAUAAACAAUAGUCCUAUA